UUGGAAUAAAGUAAAGUACAAAUUACGGUUUGCUAGGCGUUAGGUAUUAGGCAUAGGGCGAUAGGCGGCGCGGCUAACCAUUCUCUUCCAGGUACAAACUAACCUUCUCUUCCAGGUACAUGCUAAUUAUCUAGUCUUCCUCAGUAAUGCCCUGGUUAGCGCACCGUGGCGGCGAUCCUGGAGCCUCGUGCUGGUGGUGGUGGUGGUGGCUUGGCUGCCUGGCUGUGGCGGGCGUGCACUUGCUAUCACAUGGGUAGCGUGGUGGAUGCAUUCACUGGUCUUGGCUGUGUUGGUGCGUGUUCUGAAGGGAUGAUGGCAGAGACGCUGGCUGGUAAUAACGCCACAGCCACAGCCGCACACAGGGACAAGGUGGAUGGGACAAGGUGGAUGGAAGUAUGCAAAUCUCCCAAUGAAGAAGGAAAAGAUGGAAUGUUAUGCGAGAGGCUACGACAGCCAUCUUAGUGGGGUCUGCUGGUGUAGGUAGAAGCUAGAAUUGCUCCCUUCGUAUGCUACAAUGAAAAAUCCUUGUUUCUUACUUCUGCAUGAUUCAAAAAGUUCUUAUAGCUAGAACAUUCUAGUUUACAAAUGAAAAUGUAAGUGUAAAGUGUGUAGGAAGAACAUCUGUAUUCUGUAACACUAGGUUCUGUAUCACAAAGGCUAGUAUUAACACCAUGACCACUCGAUAUAAGAUAAAGGAAGAUUAAAACGUGGCUAUGGCUAUGGACGCUGGCGUCAGGUGGCGGAAGGUUCAGGGUAACCAGGCAGGGUGUAUGGGGGUGGAAGUGGAGCAGCGCGGGGCUCACUCCUUCCUGCCCCAUCAUUACCGUAUGUCCUGCUACACCACCACCACUGCAGCUGUCUGUGACGGCAGUACGUGUCUACCCAAGCAUAAAUAUCUAUUACAACUAUAUAUUAUAAAUGAGAUACUUUACUUAUACAAAAUUCAGAUAUCAAUGUAUUGGUUAUUGUGAGCUCUCUUUUUCAUUAUCGUGUCUAGCAAUGGUUGUUUGUCAAAACAGUAAUGUUAGGUAGUUUUGACAGCGAGUGUUUGCAUCUUCCGCGGAUAAAGAUAAAACCGAGGUAGCAUCUAAGAGGCAGACUAUUACAUUCUUUUUGUUCUCUAUUUCUAUCGCCUCUGUUCAUGAUUGUGUGUUCUUGACAAUACACCAGAGAGAACUGAUAAGCAGUACAGGAAUAUACACAUUUUCUCUUGCAUAUCUAUCUUCUUAUGUCAUAUGAUCUA